rnacentral:rRNA from 1 species
UACAUAGGGUGCGAGCGUUAAUCGGAAUUACUGGGCGUAAAGCGUGCGCAGGCGGUUUGCUAAGACAGGUGUGAAAUCCCCGGGCUUAACCUGGGAACUGCGCUUGUUACUGGCAGGCUUGAGUGUGGCAGAGGGGGGUGGAAUUCCACGUGUAGCAGUGAAAUGCGUAGAGAUGUGGAGGAACACCGAUGGCGAAGGCAGCCCCCUGGGCUAACACUGACGCUCAUGCACGAAAGCGUGGGGAGCAAACAGG